AACGAACGCUGGCGGCAGGCCUAACACAUGCAAGUCGAGCGGACCCUUCGGGGUUAGCGGCGGACGGGUGAGUAACGCGUGGGAAUAUGCCCUUCUCUACGGAAUAGUCCUGGGAAACUGGGGGUAAUACCGUAUAAGCCCUUUGGGGGAAAGAUUUAUCGGGGAAGGAUUAGCCCGCGUUGGAUUAGGUAGUUGGUAGGGUAAUGGCCUACCAAGCCGACGAUCCAUAGCUGGUUUGAGAGGAUGAUCAGCCACACUGGGACUGAGACACGGCCCAGACUCCUACGGGAGGCAGCAGUGGGGAAUCUUAGACAAUGGGGGCAACCCUGAUCUAGCCAUGCCGCGUGAGUGAUGAAGGCCUUAGGGUUGUAAAGCUCUUUCAGCUGGGAAGAUAAUGACGGUACCAGCAGAAGAAGCCCCGGCUAACUCCGUG
rnacentral:rRNA from 1 species